CGUUGCACUAUCGUUAACUGAAUACAUAGGUUAACGAGGCGAACCGGGGGAACUGAAACAUCUAAGUACCCCGAGGAAAAGAAAUCAACCGAGAUUCCCCCAGUAGCGGCGAGCGAACGGGGAGCAGCCCGGAGUCUGAAUCAGCUUGUGUGUUAGUGGAACGGUCUGGAAAGUCCGACGGUACAGGGUGAUAGUCCCGUACACGAAAGCACACAUGCUGUGAACUCGAAGAGUAGGGCGGGACACGUGGUAUCCUGUCUGAAUAUGGGGGGACCAUCCUCCAAGGCUAAAUACUCCUGACUGACCGAUAGUGAACCAGUACCGUGAGGGAAAGGCGAAAAGAACCCCGGCGAGGGGAGUGAAAAAGAACCUGAAACCGUGUACGUACAAGCAGUGGGAGCCUCUUUAUGGGGUGACUGCGUACCUUUUGUAUAAUGGGUCAGCGACUUAUAUUCUGUAGCAAGGUUAACCGUAUAGGGGAGCCGAAGGGAAACCGAGUCUUAACUGGGCGUUAAGUUGCAGGGUAUAGACCCGAAACCCGGUGAUCUAGCCAUGGGCAGGUUGAAGGUUGGGUAACACUAACUGGAGGACCGAACCGACUAAUGUUGAAAAAUUAGCGGAUGACCUGUGGCUGGGGGUGAAAGGCCAAUCAAACCGGGAGAUAGCUGGUUCUCCCCGAAAGCUAUUUAGGUAGCGCCUCGUGAACUCAUCUUCGGGGGUAGAGCACUGUUUCGGCUAGGGGGCCAUCCCGGCUUACCAACCCGAUGCAAACUACGAAUACCGAAGAAUGUUAUCACGGGAGACACACGGCGGGUGCUAACGUCCGUCGUGAAGAGGGAAACAACCCAGACCGCCAGCUAAGGUCCCAAAGUCAUGGUUAAGUGGGAAACGAUGUGGGAAGGCACAGACAGCCAGGAUGUUGGCUUAGAAGCAGCCAUCAUUUAAAGAAAGCGUAAUAGCUCACUGGUCGAGUCGGCCUGCGCGGAAGAUGUAACGGGGCUAAACCAUGCACCGAAGCUGCGGCAGCGACGCUUAUGCGUUGUUGGGUAGGGGAGCGUUCUGUAAGCCGUUGAAGGUGUCCUGUGAGGGGUGCUGGAGGUAUCAGAAGUGCGAAUGCUGACAUAAGUAACGAUAAAGCGGGUGAAAAGCCCGCUCGCCGGAAGACCAAGGGUUCCUGUCCAACGUUAAUCGGGGCAGGGUGAGUCGACCCCUAAGGCGAGGCCGAAAGGCGUAGUCGAUGGGAAACAGGUUAAUAUUCCUGUACUUGGUGUUACUGCGAAGGGGGGACGGAGAAGGCUAUGUCAGCCGGGCGACGGUUGUCCCGGUUUAAGCAUGUAGGCGGAGGUUCCAGGUAAAUCCGGUACCUUGUUAACGCUGAGGUGUGAUGACGAGGCACUACGGUGCUGAAGUGAUAAAUGCCCUGCUUCCAGGAAAAGCCUCUAAGCAUCAGGUAACACGAAAUCGUACCCCAAACCGACACAGGUGGUCAGGUAGAGAAUACCAAGGCGCUUGAGAGAACUCGGGUGAAGGAACUAGGCAAAAUGGUGCCGUAACUUCGGGAGAAGGCACGCUGAUGUGUAGGUGAAGUCCCUGCGGACGGAGCUGAAAUCAGUCGAAGAUACCAGCUGGCUGCAACUGUUUAUUAAAAACACAGCACUGUGCAAACACGAAAGUGGACGUAUACGGUGUGACGCCUGCCCGGUGCCGGAAGGUUAAUUGAUGGGGUUAGCGGCAACGCGAAGCUCUUGAUCGAAGCCCCGGUAAACGGCGGCCGUAACUAUAACGGUCCUAAGGUAGCGAAAUUCCUUGUCGGGU
rnacentral:rRNA from 1 species